rnacentral:rRNA from 1 species
UACGGAGGGUGCAAGCGUUGUUCGGAUUUACUGGGCGUAAAGCGCGCGCAGGUGGGUGAACAAGUCGGAAGUGAAAUCUUGAGGCUCAACCUCGAGGCUGCUCCCGAAACUGUUCGCCUAGGGACUGGUAGAGGCUGGUAGAAUUCCCGGUGUAGCGGUGGAAUGCGUAGAGAUCGGGAAGAAUACCUGUGGCGAAGGCGGCCAGCUGGGCCGCAACUGACGCUGAGGCGCGAAAGCUAGGGGAGCAAACAGG